AACGAACGCUGGCGGCGUGCCUAACACAUGCAAGUCGAACGCGAAAGUCCUUCGGGAUGAGUAAAGUAGGCGCACGGGUGGAGUAACACGUAGGUGACCUGCCUUUUAGUAGGGGAAGUAACCAGAAGAAAUUUUGGUCUAAUGCCGCAUACGAAGAACAAAUAUACUAGUAGUUCUUGAAGGAUGCCUCUGUAUAUGCAUCCACUAAAAGAAUGGGCCUGCGGGACGAUUAGCUAGUUGGUGGGGUAAGUGGCCUACCAAGGCGACGAUGUCUAUCCGGUCUGAGAGGAUGAUCGGACACACUGGAACUGAGACACGGUCCAGACUCCUACGGGAGGCAGCAGUGGGGGAAUAUUGCGCAAU
rnacentral:rRNA from 1 species